CGCGGUAACGCGUUGAGCUGACCGGUACUAAUCGCCCGAUUGGCUUGAUCGCUCUCAUGAU
rnacentral:rRNA from 1 species